GAGAAUAGAAUGCCAAGACAGAAAUGAAAGCUAUAGAAAAAGAUCACCCAGUCCUGUUCCUUCAGUUACAAGUGAGAACAAUGAGACUGGAGAAUCUCCUCAUUGCACCCACAUUUAGUGGAAAAGCAGGAACCCAGGCCUCCUAACUGUCCUGUCUUGAUUUGUACUGGGAAUUAGGUCACCAAAAAGUAAUCUCCAUCAAGGCCACCUUCGAAAGUCUACUCACAAACUUAAUUGUGUUUCCCCUUCAGGUGUCUGAUUCCACUCUCCCUAUGAGAAGUUCCACGUUCCCUUUCACUCCUGGCUCCCAUUUCCCAUAUAUCUGUAAAAGUGAAGAUCUGCUCUAGGAUAGGCUGCAAGCUGCCACGGUGGAGAGACCAACAUGGCAAAGACCUGAGGGUAGCCUCUGGUUAAAUGCCGUGAGAAACGGAGGCCCUCAGUCUAGUGGCCUGUGAAUGCUCGAGUCCUGCCGCUAACCGCUCUCUAAGUCUGGAAGCAGAUGCGGCCCCUUGGAACCGUGAGAUGACUCGCUGCAGUGGACACCUGGAGGGCAGCCUGUGAGAGAACCUGAAACAGGAGACCCAGCCAAGCCUUUCUCAGACUCCUGAUCCACAAAACAUGGAAAACCAUAGAAAUGAUAAAUAAUAAAUGUUCAUUGCUUCAA